CCUUCGAUAGCUCAGUUGGUAGAGCGGUGGACUGUAGAGAGUGGAAAAUAGUAAUCCAUAGGUCGCUGGUUCAAAUCCGGCUCGAAGGA
rnacentral:tRNA from 1 species